UGCCAGCCGCGCGGUAAUACAGAGGGUGCAAGCGUUAAUCGGAAUUACUGGGCGUAAAGCGCGCGUAGGUGGUUUGUUAAGUUGAAUGUGAAAUCCCCGGGCUCAACCUGGGAACUGCAUCCAAAACUGGCAAGCUAGAGUAUGGUAGAGGGUAGUGGAAUUUCCUGUGUAGCGGUGAAAUGCGUAGAUAUAGGAAGGAACACCAGUGGCGAAGGCGACUACCUGGACUGAUACUGACACUGAGGUGCGAAAGCGUGGGGAGCAAACAGG
rnacentral:rRNA from 1 species